GUGCUGGCUUUGGCAUCACACAUACUAAACUUGGAAUGGCAGAAAAUUAAUUGGCAUGGCCCCAGUGCAAAGAUGACACAAAUUUGGGAAGCAUCCCAUAUUUUG
rnacentral:snRNA from 1 species